UGGAAUUUAGGAGUGGUUGUAGGGGCGAGAGCAGGCUGGUAGGGGAAUUCGAGCUCUUCUUCGUGACCCCCGGUUAGGUUUUCCGUGUGCAAACUGCCAAGUAACUGGAGAUGGGGUGUUUGUGAGGAGAACGACCUUCCGAUUCUAGUUCUGGUGGCUCGACCUGUCGAGUAAAUUCGAUUACUAUAACUUCGGUUGAAUAUGCCUUUCUCGGAUUCCCCCUUGAUCCAUUUGAAAGCGUGCCUCCUCGAGUGUAGUUCACUUGAUCCUGAUGUAAAAUUGGGUUGGUUAAUAUGGGUUUUCAUGAUAGUAGUUUAUUAGCUUUACUUGGUGUUUUGAUACGGAAGAAGAAAAUCAUCUAGUGCCAGAGUUCAUCUUAUUUGAAAGGAAAACGUGAUUCAACUUUUGGUAUGCUGCUGAUUGUGCCCCAUUCUUUUGUACAACCACUACCACGGUCAUGUCUGUUUGGCUACCUUUGUUGGUUAAGUGAAGUCUAUUUUGUACUUCUGCUGUUGCUUCUGCUUGGUUGAACUUCAGGUUUUCAUUAGUGGUAUGUCUUUCUUCAGAUUGAUUGUUUGUCAUGUUAGUCAUUUUUUCUUCUUGUUGUGGUCAAUCAUGUUGAACUUGAUGUAGGUGCAAGGUUUUCUUUUUCUUUUAGUAUUUUUAUUACUGUUUUAGAUGGAGGUGAGUCAGGUCGUUGACAAUUUUUAGUUCACUCUGUAUUCUCAGAUGUCCAUAGCUCUAUAAUAGCUCUUCUUUUUGAUUUAUCUCGAAUAUGCUCUCACAUGAUUUUGUCAAAAAAAUAUUAUCACUAAUUCAUGAAGCAUUUUAAAAUUUGUGCAGGAGUUUUUGUUCUACUGAACUAUCAGGGCAGGUAACUCCCUCCCUCCUGAUCGUUUUUUAUCAGAAUUUUUAGUUGAUCCAUUCUUCUUGAAUUCUGUCAAAGUUUAACUUAUUUUUCGAUGAUCCCCGCAGAAGCUUGCAGGGGUACCACCUGAGCUUGCAUUAGUUGUCUUCCAUACCCAUGGACCUUACAGUGGUACGAUUUGAUAUCCAUUAAUCCUCCAUGCCCUUAUCAUUUAACAUUAUGAUUUAUCUCAAUGCUUUCAUGUUUAGUUCUGUAUAAAAUAGCUAAUUUAUGAAAAUGUGCUCCUGUUGCAAUGCAGCCUUUAUUGUACAACGCAGCGGUUGGACAAAAGAUAUGGAUGCUUUUCUUUCAUGGUUAUCAGGAAUAUCAUUUAGUGGUGGAGGCUUCAGUGAAGCUGCUAUUUGUGAAGGUCUUGCUGAAGCACUGAUGGUAUUGAUGUGUUAACAUUGUUCACAAUCAUAACUCUAUAAGUUGCUUUAUUGUUUAUGUUCAAAUAGUUCUAAAGUCUGAGUAGUGCAGAUAAUUUUCUAUUGAAUAAUGUAGUUAUAAUGAAAAUCCGCGCCUAGUAGCAUAACACAAUACAUUAAGUUCACCUACAAUUUUGCUGGGUUGAGCCCAUUUUCGUGGGACAUUUCCUACAGAUUGGUAAGUGAGGUCUCAUUUUUUUCUAUGAUCUGCUCUUGUAUUUCUUCCAUAUUAAGGCAUAAGCACUGGAAAUAGUUACUGGACCUGCACAUGUGUUUCUUGCAUUUGUACUUCUUUUAUCGUCAUAUUUCAUGCUGUCUAAACUCCAGCUUUAUUAAUUACUUUGUUAUAUUUUCUAGAAAGUGAUUUUGUAUAUUUGUGUUGCUAGUGUUUCCAAUAUGGUCCAGAAUCUCUUCUAUUUUUUUUCUUGCACAAGCUAUGGUUUGAAUGAGAAACUAUGGAAGUGUUUGACCUGAACUGCAGUUAUGGGGCUAUGGUUGUGGUUGGAUUAUGUAAUAGACAUCAGUAGUUACUCUCAAUGAGACUGACACGUGAAUGGUCUUUUGUGAAUGUAUUGUAUUGGUUAUUAGUUUGUUAUUGCCAUGGUGCUUAUUUCAUUUCAUUUAUGCAACUAGAUACUCCAAGGCAGUCCUGGUAGCAGCCAGAAUCAUCAAAAUCGUGAACUUCAAAAGCAUUGCCUACUUGUUGCUGCAAGUAAUCCUUACCCGCUGCCUACACCUGUCUACCGCCCUUCUGUUCAAAGUAGUGAUCACAAAAAGAGCAACGAAGCAACAAAGGAAUCAUGUCUUGCUGAUGCUGAGGCUGUUGCAGUCUCAUUUGCUCAGGUGCUGAAUAAAUACUACUAUCUUGCAUUAUAUUCAUUGUGUAUCUCAAUGGAGUGCUAAGCAGUACUUGGUUGGAUCUAAUUAACUUUGUGGUUGCAGUCCUCUGUAUCGUUGUCGGUGGUAUCUCCUAAACAGCUACCAACACUGAAGGCAAUAUACAACGCGGUAAUACAUUUGUUGUGUCAAACUUGAUAAACUGUUUGAAAGCCUACAAUCUUGUACUUGCUUCUUUAUUUUGGUUUGUCCAAAAGGAAUCUUGAAUGGUCCUAAAUGUCCACUCCACUCUGCUAGUAGCCUGCUUAAUUGCCUAGUCCACUCCACUUGUUGCGAAUAGUUUAGAUGUCCUUGUAAUUGCUUACUUUAUGGUCCUAAAUGUCCUCUUUUCUAGUAGUUUGUAAAAUAAAUGCCUUAGAAAUUCAAGUGUCACACCACAUAACUUGGUUGUGGAUUAGAAAAAAAUCCACCCACGUCAAAUCAUCAUAGUAUUUAGCACAAUGGAUGAAAUUUCAAGAUAAUGCCUUUCCCUGAUCUCUACAUUCCUCCACUUCUGUCAUGAUGGGCGUUGUAAACUUACAUGAUUUGAAGCUGACCUUAGGCAAAUCCUUGUUUGUUGUGUGAAUAGGCACUGAAUACUGAUACUACACGUAUUUAUUGCAGGGAAAGAGGAAUCCUCAAGCUUCUGAUCCAUCAGUUGAUCAUGCCAAAAAUCCACAUUUUCUUGUUUUGCUGUCUGAGAGUUUCAUGGAGGCUCGAACCGCUCUAAGCCAUCCUUUACCCGGGAACCUUGUCCCAAACCACACCAUUACAAAAAUGGAUACCGCACCUGCAGCUACUGUGCCAGGACCACCUUCGAAUGCCACUCCCUCAGGUUGAACAAAUGCUAAUGUUAGGCUAGUUUCACUGUGAGGUUUUAGCCUUUGAUUGUUCCUGUUUUCAUAAAACUUGUGGCUUGUGCUGUUGUUAUGAUGUCUGCAUGGGCGGGAUAUAGAGAAAGCUUUAAAAAAAGAAUUAUAGGAGUUUCCCCUAAUUUUGUGUGAGUUGGUGCAACAAAUCCCAGCUGCAAUUUGAUUAAAGAAAAAGAAUGGUAGAUUUAAGUAAAAAUGCAAUCUGGACAUUGCCAUUUGGGUUGGGACCACAAAUAAAAAACACUGAUAAACACUUCUUGCUGCAUAUGCUGGAAGUGCUGACUAUGUAAUUUCAGGCAAACAAGGCUUGGAGAAUGCCCUUAUGGGACCCUUUGCAUAAAACCUACCUAUACUAAUAAAUCUUAGCAGAAAAGCACGUGAGAGCCCUCAUAUACUAAAUUUCAAAGCAGUAAACUAAAUGUGCACCUGAAUACUUAUACCAAAGAGGCACUUGAAAUAUUUGAUGUUUCAAAUUGCAUGUGGCCAUGAUGUUAUGUACUGAAAUACCCUACUUACUUGUCUAGUUGAAAUACUUUGAGCCAGAGCUGAAGGAAAAUGAUGUACUGGACCUAGAAGUUAAAUGCUCAUCUUUCAUAACAGCUUGUAGUACUACUGGCUUCAUAUUUGUUUUUCUAUGUGUAUGAUGAAUGUUCUGUGACUUGUGAUAGUGAAUCAUCCUAAAUAAUGGUGUAUCUGACCAUUGGCUAAGAUGUCAGCAGCUAAUUGUUUGAGUUGUUGGUCAGCCAUUAGACUAAUUUAGUCAUGUCUGAAAUUGCACCUAUAUGCCUAUCAUAUGCAAUGCAGACAUCACAUGGUAUUAGAAGUAUCCAUACAGAUACCAGGUGCUUUUUUCGAUGUGUAUGAGUGUUGAUGUUGUUUCUCAUUUGUUUCAUGAAGUACAUUUCACAAUCGCACAUUCUAAAAUGCUGGGUUUUUAGCUCUCUCUCUCUCUCUCUAUAUAUAUAUAUAUAUUCAACGUUGCUAUGGAUCAUAAUUGUGACUAAGUUCGCCUAUCUAUUGAAUUAGGGUGGCACAUUUCUGAUUUUGUUUACAUGUUCCAAGUAUAACUAAAAACUCACUGAAUAAUAUUGCAAUGUGUUUUUUUUUCUGCUCUUACUCAUAUCAUUUCGUUAUAUAACCCUACUAAAUUGUCAUGACUAAAAAAAUUGUUAUAUCUCCAGUGAAUGGAACGAUGAUGGGACGGCAACCGACUGCAAAUGUUAAAGUGGUAGGCUACAAAAAUAUGUUAUUAUUUUACUAUUUCUAUAUGCCUUUUUAUUAUAACCGUACCUUAACGAUUUGCAUUUUCAGGAGCCGACAACUAUACCACCAAUGGUUUCUGCACCUGCAUUCUCUCAUAUGACACCUAUUUCAAAUGUUGCUUCUCAAGGUGUAUCAGCAAUGCAAACUUCUUCACCAUCGAUUAUUUCACAAGAAACAAAUGUUGCAAAUGAAAUAUUGCAAGAGCAUAAGCCUUUAGUAAACCCUAUCCAACAACAGGUUCGGCCUGGUGGCCCAGCAAAUGUUAGCAUCCUAAACAAUCUGUCACAACAUCGACACUCUUUAACAGCAGCUACCUCAAUGGGACCUAACAUGGGAGCAACACCUAUACAAGUGCACAUGUCAAACAUGAUAUCGAGUGGAAUGACAUCAACUCCCGCUGUCAUAUCUUCUAUAUCUGGAACAGUACAGCCAAUUGGUGCUCAACAGUUGGUACAGAACACAGCUCUCGGUUCUUUUGGGUCAAACACUUCUACUGUAUCUGGUAAUUCAAAUAUUGCCGUAUCGUCUUCUUUGGCUAACAUACAAAGCAACAUGGCCAUGGGACAAUCAGUGCCUUCUAUGGCACAAGGUGGUCUGAUGGCUGGUCCACAAUCAGGACAAGGUGGAAUUGGUACGAACCAAAACAUGAUAAAUAACCUUGGGACUACAGCUAUCUCUUCUAUGCCUACAAUGAUGCCAACACCAGGAAUGGUCCAGCAGACAGGAGUAAAUGCUCUUAGCGCGAACAACAGUUCUGCUAUGAAUAUGCCUCUGGCACAACAUCCUAAUGGCCAGCAACCAUCGAAGUAUGUCAAAAUUUGGGAGGUAAAGAUUUCAGUUUGCGUUUCAUGCUCCUUGCGAUAGUAGCUUUGCAAUAUAGGUUGCUAAAUGCAGCAUUUAAAUAGCGGUAUGUAUGAAACUUAAUAUAGCAUCCGAGCCAAGAGGUUUCAGGUUCAAGUUUCGGAUUUCACAAUUUAAAUGAAGAAAAUUGCUUGCCUCUUUCUGUCCAUGUUUAGGCCUUAUCAAGCCACGCAUGAGAGGGGGUGUUGAAGUAUAUGCAGAUUGCCCAACCUUGUCAAUUUUUUUUUUGUUCUACUGGUCAGUGCAUGAAAUUUAAUAGAAAAUACGUUUGUAAAAGUUACUCCCUCCGUCCCGAAUUAGUUGUCUUAGAUUUGUUUAGAUACGGAUGUAUCUAGACACGUUUUAGUGUUAGCUACAUCCGUAUCUAGACAAAUCUAAUCUAAGACAAGUAAUUUGGGAUGGAGGUAAUACAUAUUUAUGCAAUAUGAGUUAAGAGUGUCAAGCAGACAACUGAACAAAUAUUUGUAAUGAUUUUGAACUUCCGGAUAUAUAUUUCUCAAAAAGUACAGGGUUACAAGAUCAUGGCUAGCCGUGAGGAGAGUUAGACAGGCGGCUACCUUAUCAGCCUGUUCUUUAAACCGAAGAGCCCAAAGUUCAAAAUCAUUAUAAAUAUUGUGAAUAGUGGUAGCACUUAAUUCAUGAUAAUCUUGCUCAUGUUGUCUGGUGUCUUUGCCUAGGAGUACAAUUCAGGACAUGAUUUUCUUCUGUUCAUAUUUCAGGGAACUUUGUCUGGGCAAAGGCAAGGACAACCUGUAUUUAUUUGUAAACUUGAAGUAAGUUCCUAUUUGUAUGGCUUAACCCUCACACUUUCUGAUAUAGUAACAGUUUUUAUGCUCUCUGUUGAUCUGUAUGCGAUCUGAAAAGAGACCAUUCCUUUUAUGGAAAGACAGUUCAGUCCAUUUCAUCCAAACAUGGCAUAUGUUGUUUUACUUUAUUUUCUGUUUAUACUACCCAAUGAUUGCCUGCAACUGUUCAUUACUGCCUAUUUAAUUAAUCAUUCAUGACAAAAAUAGCUCUUUCAAGUGUUCUCUAUUCUUGAGGCCGUUGGAAAGUCAAUGCUUAGAAAGAACAUACUUUUUUUUAUCCGAACAACAGGCGACAAUCCUACUGAGUAUUAUGUGUAUUAGUAAUCAAGAUCCAAAAUAAGAAUUUACAAAGAAACAAUUGAUAGAAUCUAAAAGAUAAAUCAAUAAAAUAGAUCACAAUGGACAUAUUAAUGUCCAACCAUUUGACCCCCUGACAUCUUAGAUGAGAUCGUGAUUUGCAAUUAUUUCAAAUCCAGAAGCAACAUUCUCUUUCAUCUAAGCUUAUUUUAUGAAUGUGUACUUUGUUUCUCUGGAUCCAACAUUCUGAAUGAACCAGAGCAUUGUUAUUAUUAGCUCCUUGAAGAAUAGGCUUGGUUGAACCAGCCUGAUUUCUAGCCGAGGCGAACAUAUCCAAGAUAUAUAAAGGAUUUGUUCCAAGAGGUUUAAAUCAAAAUAGAGAUAGUGCCCAAUCUUCUGAAACCUGAUUAAUGCAAAGAGCACCAACUUAACUUCCUCCACGUCAAAAGUCUUACUCUCCAAUCCUUGUGUUAACUUCUCCAUGAAGUAUUGUUGAGAAAAACAACUUACUAUGCAUUAAAAUCUGCACCAAGAUACACUUUGUUUUUCUGAACCUACUGAAAAUUUUGUGAAGCAUGGAACAGAAUAUCAGUUUAUGCUGCCAAUGCUCAUUGUUUUCACGGUCUACACCUUCAAAGCUGAAACCAAUUGUUAUAAUUUCGGAUUGUAUACUGUAAUUUGCUAUCCUCUUAAAUAUACCAUACCAUAUUCUAUCCUUGCAAAGCAUUUCAAUGUUGUAUUUCUCAUCCUAUCAUCUGUGUUGCAGGGUUAUAGGAGUGGAACAGCGUCUGACACGUAAGUCUUUAAACUGUUGCAAUACUAUUUUUGUGAUGAAUGAGAUUAGGAAAUUUUACAGCUAGGUAUUAUUGUUGCUCUUUUUCUUGAAAAUGAAUUGCUUUACAAGAAAUAUUGAAUUUUUAGUGGACACCUACACCCUGUUCGUGAAGUCAUUCUCAUUAUACUAUCUGUAAUACAUCCUGUGCGUCCAGUAACUUAUCUGAACACACCUAUCAGCUAUAGGAGUAUGGAAUGCUAAGGUUAGUUGCAAACCAACUAAAUACCAGUCUUCUAGGUUGGUAUGUCAUAUUUGGUUUCUUUGGCAGCACCUUUCAAAUUUUACUAGUGUACUGAUUGCCAGAUAUAUUCACGAAUGUUCUAGGUUGCUAUAUUCUUGAAUUUUACCUGCUGUUCAAGCGUAAUUUCAGUUGGAAACCUGACAACGUUCCUGAGUUCUAAUAUGAUACGCCCAGUGAAGAAACUUCUUGUUUUCCUGCACUUUGUUGGGCAACUUUGAAUGCCAUUUGCCUUCACUCAAUAAAAUCUAUCAUCGUGUCUUAUUUUUCUCCUUAAGUCUUAUGAUAGCGCUUUCAUACAAUCUGCAAAUCAUACCAUCAGUCUGCCUAAAGAAACUGAAGCUGUACUUUUAUAUUCAGACUUGCUUCAGACUGGCCAGAAACGAUGCAGAUCGUGCGCCUCAUAGCCCAAGAGCAUAUGAACAACAAGUUUGUCGCUCAACUAGCCCAUGCUUUUCCUUGUUAAAACCGCUGCAUUAUUGUGUGUUGUUCCUAAUAUCAUUCCUGCUCAACUUUGGUUGUUCGAUCAUGUAAUUGUACAGGCAGUAUGUUGGCAAGGCAGACUUUCUAGUAUUUCGAACAUUGAAUCAGCAUGGUUUCCUCGGACAACUACAAGAGAAGAAAUUGGUGAGUCGCUCAGUGCUUGUUUUAACCUUGUGGAAUAUUUAUGAUCUCAGUUUGAACUGCACUUAAUUAAGCAUGGUAUCAUACAUUUACUUCUUUUAAUGUUCAAGUGGUUCAUUGCUUCAGUGUGCAGUGAUUCAGCUACCUUCACAAACUUUGCUGUUGUCAGUGUCUGACAAAGCUGGGCGCCUCAUAGGAAUGCUGUUUCCAGGGGUAUGUUUAUAACUAAUUGAGAGAUUACCGCAAUUUGUCUAUUGUAGUAUUCAUCUAAAUCAACACAAUUCUCUGCCGAGUUUCCCCCAGGAUAUGGUGGUAUUCAAACCACAGGUCUCAACUCAGCAGCCACAGAUGCAGCCACAGCAGCAGCAGCAGCAGCUACAACAGCAGCAGCAGCAAAUACAGCAGCAACAGCAGCAACUACAGCAACUGCAACAGCAGCAACUACAACAGCACCAAAUGCAAAUGCAGCCUCAAGGCCAGCAACUUCAGCAGCAGCAGCAGAUGCAGCAAAUGCAACAGCAACAACAACAGAUGCAGCAAAUGCAACAUCAACAACAGCAGCAGCAGCAGCAGAUUCAGCAGCAGCAGCAGAUGCAGCAGCAGCAGCAGCAGAUUCAGCAGCAGCAGCAGAUGCAGCAGCAGCAGCAGCAGCAGCAGCAGCAACAGAUGCAGCAAAUGCAACAGCAGCAGCAGCAGCAGCCUCAACAACUCCAGCAGCAGCCGCAGAUGGUGGGUACAGGGAUGGGUCAGCAACAAUUCAUGCAGGGGCAUGGUCGGGCGGUGCAGAUGAUGCAAGGAAAGAUCGCGCCACAGGGCCCAGGCAACAUGUCUGGAGGAGGCUACCUAUCUUGAAAAUAUCGCGUGCUAGCAGGACACUCCUUGGGUUCAUGAGGCUCCUUGGAGAUUUGGCACACCCAAUUAGUGUGGUGGUUUUGUGCUUAUGUACAGAGCAUUCCGAGUCUGUCAGCUAGGAGGAGUUUGCUUACUAUCUCAUGUCUAGCCUGUAGCUGAGGUAUUCAUCAUCCUAUUGGAUGGUACAUUAGAAGAACAUAUUCAGAGGAUUGAUUGGAGAGGGACCUAUAAUCUGGAAUGAUUUGCUAAAGAUAAAGUUACAUUUUCACACCGUUGGACCGAACAUGCAUUUGAAUCUUCAUAUGUCCAAUAACUUACUGUAUUUCCUACUUAUCCAUGCUAAAUGGAGGCGCUGGGGAGGAGGCAUGGUGGUGUGUUAGGAAGAAUCCUGAUUGCUGGGUCAGGUAGAGAUGCGUCCCACAAAUGUUUUACGAGCCGGGCCGUUUUUACGAUAUCUGCUCAGGCUAUUUUUUUUGUCCGCCCUGUAAAACCGUCGGAAAAGGCACCCAGCCAGGUUAUAGGGAGCUGAGGUGCCCGUACUGGGCUUUUGAUUGGAAGCCCAUUUUACUCGUUAUGUCGGUCUCUGGUUCGCUACCCUGUUUUCGUGCUUCGCUGUCCUGUUUCUCCUCUACUGUUUCUGUGCUUCGCUGCCCUUCUGUUUCGCUGUUUCGCUUUCGUUGCCGUUUGUUUAUUAGAAAAUUCCUUUCGUUUGGUUGUAGCUUUUUUUCUGACGUCAGCGAGCACUCCUAUUUUUUUGUUUUAAAAAAGUUUUUUUUGUCUCGUCUUUUAGAUAAAUAAAAAAUACAAAGAGUGAAUAAAAAUAAAGAAAUUGAAUUUUCUUAUUAAAUAUUUUGAAAGAAAAGUAAGCAGAUUUUGCUCGUGCCUCUGUUUUGGAGAAGUAAUUAUUAAACAAAAAAUGACUACUUUUAAUAUAGUUAAGGUAAUCAAACAGAGAAGGAAGCAUUGAAUGUUUAGUACAGCAGAACAAAAAAAUAAUAUUCAGACUUGUUUUGAACAAUGACCCCCUCAACAUUUUCUUCAUUCAAGUAGCACGAGAAGGAAAUAAGUUCUCGUUUGGUAGAGCAAAAAGUAAAAUGGAGAAAAUUGUUUAUGCGAUGAAAAUGUGGUCAUCUUGUAUCUUGAACCUGGGUUAAGCUGAGUAUUGAUUCACCUGAAUAGCCGGAAACCCUGUUUGUAAAAAAAUAAAAGAAGUUUGGUCAGUUUAUUUAAGUAGAAAAAGAAAAACUUUAGUUUCUGGUUGUAGUUGAAUAUUAUUAUUUAAUGUAUUAAAUUUAAAAAUGUAGGGGGAGGUUUUCGAAUGGCGGAACUAACGUGAUUUUGUUGGAAAGCUUUGACCAAUGGUAGUUGAACUUCACUGUUGGAACAAGUCGCAAUUUCGUAGAGAAAAAUUUCUCUUAAGGCCUGUAGGUCAUGCUGCAAAAAAUAAAAAGAAAGUAAUUGUAUUAGACACUCUCAUUCUUUUUUUGAAAAAAAUGUACGUUGAGUUUUAUUUAUUUGGAAUGUCAAGCAUAUACUUUUUUAGAUCAACAAAUUAUUUACAUGGGCAGCUUGAAAAGAACUUACAGUUGUGAAUCCUGGCACUCCCAUCCCCCGGUAUGUUUUUAGAAUUUGCAGGAGGAAUAUGCCGGUGUCGUACCUGAGUGAUAAGAAAGAGAAUUUACUAGGAGUUAGGAGUGCGCAAAAAUAUUAUAAAGUGAAGAAAAAUUAAUUUGAAGUACAGUGCACAGAAAAAAAAUGAUUCUUUUCUUUCUUUUCUACCUGAAAUGAGUCCGGGGUACUGGAACGAAACGGUAGUCAAAUUCUUUUAUGUUGAAUGCGAUGCAAUUUGGGUAUGUUUUCGCAAACAGACUCUUGAAGUUGAAUGUAACAGUGCUGAUAAUUGAAGUGAAUUUGUUGUUUCCAGAUCCAUCAGGGUUCAUUAUAUCAAAGAAUUUGCCACUGUCAAAGUUAGCAGUGAUUACAAUCCACUGUUUGUCAUUGAAGCAAGGCAGAUGAACCUGUUAGAAAAAAAGAGAAGAAAGUACAGACAUAUUAGUAGAAAUUGAAGAGUGGAACAUAAAAAUUUGGUGUUUCGGUUUUCUCUUUAGAAUGAUUUGCUCGAAAAGAUAGUUUCAUACGAAGUUUGCGUUCUGUAAACUGAACCCAACAGUUGCUUCGCUUAACAUGUCUGCGCAUAUUGGAUCUGAAUGGUUUAGUAAGGGUCUCAUUAGAAGUUCCUGAUGAAAAAUGGAAAAAUGAGAGUAAGUUUGUAUAAAUGUGUAGAUUAAAAAAGUACAUUAAUUACUCAUGUCUUCUUUGUGUGAUGAAAGACCAAGAUAGGAUAGAAGAAGAAAAAUUACCAUGUCUUCUGUGCCGACGAUAUGGACAAUAGGUUCAUUGCUUGGUAUUAGACCCUGCCUUCCCCGAUUGAGUAGAUCUGUGUUGAGCAUUUUAGAAUAGCAAUCCAAAGUGUGUGGGUUCAUCCAGCCGCCUGGCCUCAUUGAAACAGUCAAAGUUUUUUGAUCGACCCACACGUUAUCUAUUUGGAAUAUCCUUUGGCUGUAUAGAAUAGAGUAAGUAAUUUCAGGAUUGGUAGUAAUGAAGCAUGGUGGUGAAAAUUAGUGAACAGAAAAAGAAUACAGAACCAUGUACAUAACAUUUUCACCUGAUGUCUAUAUGAGGUAGAAGUGACGACAUCAUUUUGAAGAAAUCUGCUUGAGCUGCUGUUGAGAAAAUAACUUGUUCCGAAUUGAGCUGAGUUGUUAUGUGCAAUUUUGAUGCUGAAGAGAAGUUCUGCAGUGGUGGCUGCUCUGCUGCUGCUUUAUCUCUGAGCAAACAUUCAGCUUCAUAAUCUUCCAGGACUUGGUACAUGAUAGGGUCUGGUAUAGGUGUACCGAAUCUGUUGGCUGCUUUUUCUGAAGAAUUGUGAUAGCACCUAAGCGGGCUGUUGCUAUAGAGGAACUGAUUGUUGCUACCUGAAUUCCUUACAAGAGAUUCAUAGUUGGUUUUGGGAAGGAUUGAUGAACAACUAGGAGGUGAAUAAUUUGCUUGGUAAUUGUUUGGGACUUCUUGCAUAGGGACUAAAUUUCAGGCUGUCUGUUAUAGCGGUAAAAGAAGGGAUGUCAAUAUCUGAAUUUUGUGGUUCACACGCAUUGGAUGUACUACCCAGGUUGUAGUUUUGAGUGGUUGGAAAACUUCUGGUAGGAGGUGCUGAUUGCGAGCAUUUCAUAUUCCUGGAAACAUCUAGGGCAACCGUAGUUGUUGAAUCCGUACCUUGUUGCAAACAGUACAGUUUGCUAUCUGAUUGCAUGAUAGAAAAAGUCAUUAGAAAAAGAAAAGGAACACUGUAUUAAGGAUAAAAAUGGUGCAAACAAAAAAAAACUAAAAAUGCAGAAAUUCUAAGGAAAAAAGGGGGUAGUGAAGAAAUAAACCUCUGCAGUUAUGAUUAGGUCUAACGAAUUUCAUUUGGGUCAAACAGAAUUUCUCUUUUGUGCAAUCAAUUUUGUCUGUUUCUUGCAUCCCAUUCGCUUCUGUGUGUGUAUAGAUGUAAUCUUUGAGUACUGCAUAUAGAUUUAGAAAAAAACGAAGAGAAAAUGUGUUAGAUCUUGUUUCAACCUAUGUAGAAAAAAAGGAGAAACAUGCUGGAAAAGGAAAGAUUUUAAUUGAAAAAAUUGGAAUUACCUUGGAGGAAAUCAAUAUCUGGGUAGUCAUAUUGUUUAUUUAUUUUAUCGAUGACGAACAAAUCUUCAAAGGUUGGUGACCUUUUCUGAAACAGGUCAUCAAUGCCUGAUGAGUUUUCUAAAAGGAGGCACUGUGAGAAUUUCUUGUCCAACCAUUGAAUAGAUGAAUCUCCAUCUUCCUUUUCCCAGUUUGGAGGAUUACUGUAAGGCAUUGCGAAAUCCAGGAAAUCAUGUGACGAUAAAAAAGUUGUUGGAUCCUUGAAGUAUUUGUUUGAGUAGAUUUGUUCAGCUUGCUGGUGUAAUGAAAUGUGGUUGUUCGGGGAUGUAAUUUGUUCAUUUGCAGACUCUGUCAUUUCAUUGUUGAUGUGGGUGAAACUCUUGGAGAUUGUCGAAUGGAGAUCAUCAAUGUAUCUUUCCGUUGUUGGAAUGGAGUUUGAUAUUAUCGUUUGCCAAAAUUUCUUGGUCAUAUCUUCAAGCAGUGCCUUCUCCUGAAAGGUAUUCACAUUAAUAAAAAUUACUUUGUAUAUAUAUGUGCGUGACAUGUCAAUAGAUCAGCAAAAAAUAUAAAACCGUAUUGAAAAUGAUGAAUGUCUCAUACAUGAUAAGAAGAAAAAUGGAAGAAUGAAAGAAUGAAAAGUUUCCAACCUGUAAGUUGUAGAUUGACGGAAAUUUGGAACUGAUGUACUGUAGAAUACAUGUAGGGAGUUUGUUUAUUCCUUCAUUUGAUAUAUUGUUGAAUGGAGUUGAUGAAAUAUGUUUCAACUGUUUUGCAUCAUAAAUGAACCGAAAAAAAAUGUUAGAGAACAGACCUACGCAGAAUACAUAUAUGUGGUGGACAAAAAAAUGUAAAAGAAAGGAAAGUCUGAUUGUAAAAUUAUUAGAGAAGGUAAAGAGUUUUUGUUGUAAAAACACUUACCGGAAGUCUUCCGAACUGAAGGUGUACACCGUGCAUUGUGUCUAGGGCUGUGAAAGUUUUUAGCAAGCUAGAUGACCACAAUGGGAGUCUUGGCAGUAUGUCGAUAGGGAACUUGAAUUCAGAAGUAAUUAAGAAUUCGAAGUGCGCAACCUGAUAUUAGGAACAAUAUUUGUAAGUUAAAAUUGUUUAAAAGAAAGAGUUGGAUGCAGUAAAAAAUUAAAGGAAGAAAAAGUGAUCUUAGGCUCAUAAUUUUAAUAUAAACUUACCACCAAGAUUAGUUUGCAUCCUCCAGGAUAAAAUGCCUUCUUCUGGUGAUGACCUGACUUAAUUUUUUUUAUUUGAUGUACUAGGUAGGAUAGAGUUGAAAGGCACCAGUUGUAUUUGCCAGCAUAACUAAUGUUUUGCAGAGCACUGUAGAAUUUCUUUGAUGGGGAACCUUUCGCAUUAGGAGCAAUCAAGCUUGAGAUAGCGAGGAGCAAGAAUAUAGUAGAGAAAUUUUCUUCGGAAAUGUUGUCCGUAAUCAUCGCAAUAAGAUGCUCUAUAGUAGGUGCUGAUGAUUGUACAAAGUUAUUGAUAAUAUCUACACAUUCUUUGGUUGGUGUAGAAUUUAUUGGUAAGCCACCAGCAGGAAUUCCAAGGAUUUUAUGAACAAUAGAUGUGUUGAAUUCAAAAUUGAAUCCAUUCCUCAGCUCCAGAGUGCAUGUUGCAGUAUUGAAUUGUAAUGCAAGCCACAUGAAAAUAUCAUCAAUGUUGCAGGCACAGCUGAUUCGUAGCAGUGAAGCGAAGCCAAGUUUUCGAACUAUGUUCUUCUGAGUAUCAUUAAGUUCAGACAGAAAUUUAACAAACAACUGGAGGUUGUCUUCAUUGCUGACAUCCUACAUAGGGAAUAGAUAGGUUGUGUGUUAGUUUUUUGUUUUUUUAUGUGUAUGUACUGAAUAAUAAAUUGUAAAAAUUAUGUACGGUUACUAUUUAUUAAAAAAUUGAAACGGGUGUCAGUGAAAAAACUGAGUCAGUAGUAGCCCCCUGCUAGUUGUUUUUCUGGCCUACAUGUACCUUCUUUCUUUUGGGAGGAUUAUUCCCAUUCUCUUCAUUUGGAAGCAGAUGUUGGUUGUUCCUCUUCCUUGCUGACAUUUCUUCCAUUUAGUUGAAUUCCUAGAAAAUUGAAUAACUGAACAAAUUAGGAGUUGUGUUCUUCUAAAGAAAAAAGGACAACAUUACUAUAGUUGUAUUUAUAGUACUUGUUUGCAGGUAUGAAAAGUAACAAAAAAUGCGUUUCACUAAUUUUGUGCGGAUUGUCAAAAGAGGUUUUUCCUUUGUUCAUUUGUCCUGUUUUACAUAUAGAGAAGAACUUAAAACAAGAAGUAAUUCCGUUGGACUGCAGUACAUUCUCAAAAAUGGGAUUUAUGUUGUUCCCAACUCAUAUCUACAGAGGAAAAAACUUUUUAUAAAAAAGGUAAAAAUUAAGUGAUGUAUUCUGAAGUGAUAUCUCAUAGGUUUGUUCGUAAAUUCGUAAAUUCAGAAAGAAAUUAGGGUGUAUACUACAUUCAGAAAGAAAAAUGUUUGUGGCUCGUACUAUAAUGAACUAGACCUCAUAGUUGGUUCGUCUGUUUCGCAGUAAGGUUUAAAAACUCGGAUAAAAAUCAUAGUCGCAGUAGUAGAGCCACGACGCGAAUGCAACUCACAUGCCGUGGACCAGCUUCUCUGUCAUCACGAUGAGGAAACAGUCCAAACAUGAUUGGAUAGCGUGGAGGCCAACAGAGAAGAGGAGCCUGGCCUUGCAAAUCGAUCGGAUGGUUGAGGGGUCACAGUGGCCAUGGAUGGCCGGGGGAGACGAAUAAUCUAGCAUCUUGUAAAAGGAAUGAAAUACUUUGUUGGCCACGUUUAAAGUCAGAGACCUCUCUAAGAUGAUGUGAAAAUAGGAAACAUCAAAAUAGCUACUUAAUGUUUUAGCUCAGAGACCUAAAUGAAGCUAGCUGCCAUGGCAAUCCCCAUAGAUACACGCAGGGGAAGAAACAGAGCUUCCACGCACACGGUCGACGGAUCAACGGACUACCGCUCGACAGCGGAGCUGCCGGAUAGCAGUGACGGCACACAUCGGGCGCGCACGGUGUGCACAAAUCCAACGCCCCGCAUGAACGUGAAUCAAAAGCUAUAGAAAAUCAAAAUGCAAAAAAGGGAGCGGAAUCAUGACCGUAGUGGUAAGAAAAGGGAUUGGGUGAAUUACCUUUUGGAUCCGAUAUUGGGAACUUAGUUGAAGCCGAGGAUCUAGUUCAUGAUGCAGAACCUGGGAAAAAAAUCGCCAGAGAGUGGAGUUUUGGAUGAAGAAAGGGGAAAGUGGAUUCUAGUUUGCAAUUAGACCCCUUUGAUAGUCGGCCACAGGUUGGUCCCACCUGUAAGACUUCCUUCCGAGGCGGUUUAGUCGCUGAAACAGUGACCCCACAUUACUUUAAAAAUUUUACAGAAAGAACGGGGAGGAAAAUAGAAAGAGUCUUAUAUAUGUUUCUUUACUGGUAGAAAUAGGAAGAUACGCGGAGGACUCAGGGGAGGCGGCGGCGGCUGCUUCUAGGUCGCUCGCCAGAUUUGCCACCCCGUAGAAAUCAACCAGUGGAUUAUAUCUUCUUUGUUGACGGGAUGACAGAAUCAGGUGGGGCGCUGCCGGCGAGUCUUAAUCGAUCUACCACAUGCGAUGAUGGGGGAGUAGCUAGCCAGAAGGCAGAUCCAGCCGGCCGUGGAGCUACUCUGGUGAUUCUUCUAACUAGAUUAUUUCUUCUAUACUCGAUUGUGUAGUUUAUUUUCUUUUUUGAGUACCCAAAAAUUGCUGCAAUGCUUUAUUAGAAAGCAAUCAUCCCGUUUGCUAGACAGGAACAAAAAAAUGAGAAAUAAUUAAAAAUAAAAAACAUUAUAGUCGAUAGGUUAUAUAAUUGCUCUAAUUUUGGUAUAUAGUGACUGGUCAAUGGAAAUUAAUUCAGGUUCAGAACUAGAAAAACAUGUCUAUUGAAAUCUAGAAGUAAAGUUUGUCUUGGGUAUUUGGAUAUAUUUUAUGUAUAUGUUUGAAGAUUUUUGGAAAAAACAAAUUAGUAUUGUUUAUGAAAAUAAACUAGCAGGUUCUCAUAUUUUCUUUUGAACAAAAUUCUCUGGUUUACUUGUGUUGUUCUCACAUUUAGUUGUGAUAAAAAGAACAUUUAUAUGGCACCUGGUGCCUUUUACUGCAAUGGUUCAAAGUAGUCUGAAAUCUUCCCCCAUGCCUUGUACAGAAGUUUACCUCAUGAAAUUCAUUUAUGUUUCCUGGAGACCGUUUGACGCUACAGAUCUUGUUUCCCCCUAUAGGAAAUCAGACAAGAAUUUCGUCCGACUCAGACACGCUUUCACCGGUGGUUGUCUUGGUGUUGUUGUAUUAUUGAAAGAGAUGAAUGCAGUACAAUAUAUCAAACCGAGCAUCAUAAUGAAUGUGUUUUUUUCCAGAACACUGAUAAAAACACACACCCUAACAACAAAACUGUAUGGUUAAAAACACUUAUAUAUAGGCAAACCGAAUUGUUCUUAGUAGGUUCUUUUUUGUCCAGUUAAUUUCAAAGUGUGUGAGCAUUCUUACUUUGGGAGUCUGAAUAUUUUCAUCUGUUUUACUUGUGUGGUUCUUGCCUUUUUGCUAUGGUAGUCUGAUUAUUUUUAACUUGUUUCUUUGCAGGUUCUUUCCAAAAGGAAAUUACCAGCAGUUCGAAAACGGAAAGGGAUGAACCAAAAAGAAACACCACAGAGUUUACGUGAGCCUGGGAAAGAAAGUAUUGAACUGAAGGAAUCAUCUGGGGUGAGUAUGAAAAAAACAUGUCUCUGAAAAAUCCUGUUAGAAGGUGACCUAAACUGAAUUUUUUUGUGCACUAUAUAUCAGGAAUGAAGUGGUACUUUAUAUUAGAAAAUGUUCUUUAUGUUUACUAAAAAGUAUGUCGCUUGUUUUUUCAUGACCAGGUUUGCGAUGUGAUGCUUGAAUUUGACCAAUUUGUGCAGUACCAUGAGAUGAAGAAGAAAACAGAGGUUUGUACCGUGAGAAAUUAGUUGAAAAGCACACCAAAAAAAUUUGUUGAACUGUUUUUCUUUCUUUUUGGUUUGCUAAUUCUCAUAAAUAUUAUAUUGCACAGGAAUUUGUUAGUAGUCAAGACAAAAUUGUGAGCCAAGGAACACUCAGUAGCAGCCAGGAAGAAGACCAGCGAACUCAGAUCGAAAAAAAAUGAUGAGGUUCAGAUGCAUAAAGUGAUACAAUGUGAGAAGUAUGAUGAUGUUAUUCUGAUAGCAAAUGAUACUGGCAGUGAAGAUGUGAGAAUAGUUUCUUCAAAAACUUUGCUUGGUUUUCUUUUCUACUAAUAUUGAUAUUGGCAGUUUAUGAAUUGAAUAUUGAUGAAUGAAUGUUUUUGAAUAGGUCCGAAACAGUUAUAUUGACGAAUCAGGUUCUACACCGGCUGUCAUAAUUGUGAACACAGAGACUUUGAAUGGGAAAAAUCUUUGUUCUACAAGCACAGAAAGGGGGAAAGAUGAUGUGGGACAUCCUAGUGAACAGGUAAAUAGCCUUAUUUAAUUCAAAAAAAGAAUGCCAGCACUUGUGGGUUUAAAAAAUCUUGCUGUUACAUGAAUAAAAAAUUAUUUGUGUUAAGAAUGAUAGAAAAAAAAGUUGAGCAUUAAUUUAGAUUAGAUAAUUGUUGCUUGCGCGUGUAAAAUAAAUUAGUGCUAUAAAAAUUUAAAAGAUUUUUUCCUAAACAGUAUUUAUAUCUUAGUCUAUGGUGUGAUAUGGAUUGGUUGUAUUUACUGUUUGUAAUGUUCUUCCAGGAACAGCAUUAUAGUGAGGACGCUUGUGUCCCUUCGGAUGAUUGCAUGAGCAAAAAAGAUUCUGAUGAUGAGUUAACUGAAAAUGAAUCAAAACCAGAAGAGUACUUGUUCCCUACGCCAGAUGAGAUGGAGAAUACAAGUACACCUGAAGUAGGGAAAGUAUUCUCUAGUCUAGAAGAGGCUGUCAGAUUUGUCAACAUUUAUGCUCAUAUCAGUGGGUUUGGUAUCAAAAAAGGGAGGAAUUACCGAAACAGGAAGAUUACCAUUUGCUGCUGCAAAAGUAGAAAAACAGAGCCCAAUGCAGCAGGUGUGAGGAAGCGCAGGAGGAAUAUGGUCGUUAGGACAAAUUGUCAGAUGCAUGUUACAGUAAGCUUACAAGAUGGCAGAUGGAUUAUUACUUCCCAAGAUCUUGCACAUAAUCAUGAUUUGGUAUGUUCGCCUACAUUGACCAAAUUCUUCCUAAGUCAUAGGAGCAUGAAUGAAGCUGAAAAACUUCUCUCGAGGCUGUUACAAGAACAUAGAAUUAAGCCAAGGAAGAUAAUGAGUAUUUUUAGGAAGCUGUCUGGUGGAAAAUUGGGUAACAUUACAUUCGAUGUCAAGAAGCUUGACAACCUGAAACAGGAAGAUCGUGAAAAGAGAAGGAACACGGACAUUGAACACACUCUGGAGUAUAUUGAAAAACUGCAGAUUGACAAACCUGGUUUUGUAUACAAGGCUCAAAGAAACGCAUCCAACUCAAUGCUUAGCUUGUUCUGGACAGACUCAAGAUCAAGGCUGGACUAUUUGCUGUUUGGAGAUAUAAUAUCAUUUGAUACAACGUUCAGCACUAAUAAGUACAAUAUGCCCUUUGCACGAUUAUUGGAGUUAAUGGCCACUCGAGAACAAUUGUUUUUGGUUGGGCCCUUUUGCAGAAUGAGCAGGCAGACACAUUUAAAUGGUUGUUUGAAACUUUUGUUGAAGUGAUGGGUGGAAAAAAACCGAGAGUAGUACUUACUGAUCAAGAUGCUGCAAUGAAGAAAGCUGUUCCAAAAGUGUUCCCAGAUGCAUUCCAUAGGUUCUGUAUUUGGCAUGUUAGAAGGAAAGCAAGAGAAAAUUUGGGUGCAUACAUGUCAAUUAAGAAAGGAAUGGAACAAGACCUUGACUAUUGUAUCAUGCAGUCCAUGACUGUUGAAGAGUUUGAAAUGAAUUGGAAAGAAAUGGAGCUGAAGCAUAGUUGUGGAAAACAUGCUCACAUUAAGCGCAUGUGGGAGAAUAGAGAGUACUUUGUUCCUGCUUAUUUCCAAGAAGUGUUCUGCCCGUUCAUUAGGUCUACCAGCAGAAGUGAGAGCUUCAAUUCAAAUUUCAAGGACUAUGUUUUGCGAAAGGAUACAAUAGAAACUUUCCUUCGUCAGUAUGAAUUAUUCCAGGAAAAUGUGAUGCACAUAGAGGAUCAAGAUAGGUUCUUGUCUAAUGAAAAAGUACCUAUCAUGUGGGGAUAUCAGCGGGUUGAGCGUCAUGCAGCUGAAAUUUACACCAGAGCUAUAUAUACCAAGUUCUUGACUGAAAUGUUAAAUUCAACUGCUUUCGGGGUUAAUGAGAUUGUGAAGAAUGAAUCAUAUGAAUUAAAGAGGAACUUUCCAUACGAAAAUCCAGAGUUUGACAGGGAAAUCUUUGCUGUGCAAGUAAAUCGAGAAAAGGAAGAAUUUGUGUGCAAUUGUGGGAAGUUUCAGAGGGAUGGUAUUCUUUGUUGCCACAUCCUUAGAUUGUUUACGCAGUUUGACAUGCUCAAGAUACCUGACCAGUAUAUUAUUCCUAGAUGGACUAGAGAAUUUAGGGAGAAGGAAUUGCAGAAACACAAGUCUAGUGCCCUUGGUAUUAAUGGAGAAGACCAGUCACACAAUGCUGUCAGAUAUGCCAUCAUGAUGAAUACAGUGGGGGAGGUAUGCUCUGACAUAAGUCAUGAUUCACGUUUUUGUCAAGAGCUGAUGGAUGCAGUUAAUGCUGUUCAUAGUAAGUAUCUUCUAGGCAAGCAACAAACUGCAGAAGGGGAUAAAACUUAUGAACAAACAGUGAACGAAGCAUGUGUGAGUGAGCCUUUGAACGAUCCUGCUGUAAUAAACAACAAGUCAGUGAGGAAAGGGAACAGAUUGAAGAGCCGAUCCGAGAGAGAAGGGUGGAAAAAGGCUGCUGAUAAACGGAAGAAAUGUAUUUGAAGAUAAUUAUUGAAUAGAAUUAAGAAAGUGAAUUAGAACUUGUUUACAAUGGUUCAUUUGAAAAUGUGUUUCCAUUUUUGAGGAUUUUUAUUUUUACCUAGAAUUUUCUCUGUUUACAGUAGCAGUUUUGGUUUGAUGGUUCACAUAGUAGUAUAAUUAAUGAGAAUGGACAAAAUACAUUGAAAGGUUUUUGCCUGGUGUUAUCACGUUUGAAAUUUUUUUAGGUGUACAUAGUUUAUUUUUGGUUUUUGCCUGAUGUUAUUACGUUGGAACUGUUGUGUUAUGAAAUAGAUUUCUACAAUCCAGUUUAAUCGUAAUGUUUUUGUCUAAAAAAAUGUAGUCUGCUGCUGUUCAAGUUUGAAAUUAUUAGUGCGACGUGUCAUCAAAUGUACUUUAAAAAAAUUGUAGAAUUUAUAUAGGAAGAAGUUUUCCUUUUGUCUUGACUAGUGAAGGAGACCUUCAUGUAUAGAUUCUUUUCUGUUUAUACUGUAUAAGUGAAGGAAACCUGUCGUGAUUAGUACCAUUACAUGCGCUCUGCCUCGGUGUUAUUUCGUCCUUAGCUUAUCUUAUCCUUUGUGUGGUUAUGAUCCCAGUGAAAAGCGAAGCUAUAUUUCGGUUCGUGAACUGGGAAAAAACCUAGGAACUAUUAGCAUUGUCAUGUGCUAGACAUUUCAGUGUGUAUUGCACUGUUUUAGUUUGCCAAAGUGUUGUGCAAAAUCUGGGAUUAAUUCUUCUUUGCCAGUGCAUGUACAAAGAGCUAUGUUUUGAUGAAAACUAGGGAAACUAGCUUGUCAUGCAGCAUUGUUUUGGUUUUCCUUUUGUGUUAGGGAUUAUUUGGCUCAAAGAAAGCACUGGGUUACAAAAAGAUUUUAACAAACUUUGUAAACCUGUUGAUAUGCCAGGUUGUUCAUAACAAUCUUUGUAUGUGCAAGUGUUGUGCUUCUGGAAAGAUGUAUGUGCAUAGUAUUUCAUUCUGCUUUCUCUGCACAUUAUGCUCGUGCAAAAUAUCAACGAGUAUUACUCCUUUCUUUGACCUGAAAAUUUCCGUCAUAGUAAACCCCUCAAGUUUGGGAUGGUAGGAACUUUGGCCAAGUUAGUGAACAUUACUUCCUUGAACUAUUGAACUAAAAUAAAAUCCAAGUGAACUAAAAUAAUUCGGAUUGUAGUAAACUAAAAAAAUAGUGAACUAAAAUAAUUCGGAUUGUAGUGAACUAAAAAAAAA
rnacentral:lncRNA from 1 species